AAAAUCUUCUUUUAAAGGAACUUGUUUUUUAAUCGACAAUACCCGCUAAUUUUCNCCUUACUAUUAAAGCUUAUAUNCCGCCGUUUAAAACCACUUUAAAUACUAUCAUUAAAAUAAAAUUUAAAAAUUCAGGUCAAGGGGUAGCCCACACUAAGAGACAAAAUUAGUUACUUUUAAAAAAAAUUUAUAGAAAAUAUAUAAAUUACAAUAAAAAAGGAUUUAAAUUCAAUUUAUUAAUAAUAAUAANAAAUGAAAUUACACCAUU
rnacentral:rRNA from 1 species